GAUGGCGCUGCGUCUGCUGCGGAGGGCGGCGCGCGGAGCGGCGGGAGCGGCGGGAGCGGCGGCGCUGCGGAGCCUAAAACCGUCUCCCACAGCGGGCGUCUCCAGGCUGUGGUACAGCUCCUCGGCCGGGCACAAGUACGUUCCACGGCGGGCAGUGCUGUAUGUACCUGGGAACGAUGAGAAGAAGAUACAGAAGAUCCCGUCCCUGAAGGUGGACUGUGCGGUGCUCGACUGUGAGGACGGCGUGGCUGUCAACAAAAAGAGUGAAGCCCGACAGAGAAUAGUCAAAACCCUGGAAGACUUUGACCUGGGCCCAACGGAGAAGUGUGUUAGAGUGAACUCGGUGUCCAGCGGGCUGGCCGAAGAGGACCUCAAGGCCCUCCUGGAGUCGCGGGUCCUUCCUUCUAGCCUGAUGCUCCCCAAGGUGGAGGGUCCCGAAGAGAUCCAGUGGUUUUCAGACAAAUUUUUACUCCACUUAAAAGGCCGAAAACUUGAACAACCAAUGAAUUUAAUCCCUUUUGUGGAAACUGCAAUGGGUUUGCUCAAUUUUAAGGCUGUGUGUGAAGAAACACUCAAGACCGGGCCUGCAGUGGGUCUUUUCCUAGAUGGAGUCGUGUUUGGGGGAGAAGAUUUUCGAGCCAGCAUAGGUGCAACAAGUAGUAAAGACACCCAGGACAUCCUGUACGCCCGGCAGAAGAUCGUCACAGUGGCGAAGGCCUUCAGCCUGCAGGCGGUGGACCUGGUGUACAUUGACUUCCGAGACGAGGCCGGGCUCCUCCGACAGGCGAGGGAAGGGGCCGCCAUGGGCUUCACUGGUAAGCAGGUGAUCCACCCGAACCAGAUCGCCGUGGUCCAGCGGGAGUUCUCGCCUUCCCCUGAAAAAAUUAAGUGGGCUGAAGAACUCAUCGCCGCCUUCCAAGAACAUCAGCAGUUAGGAAAGGGAGCCUUUACUUUCCGCGGGAGCAUGAUCGACAUGCCGCUGCUGAAGCAGGCCCACAACAUUGUCACGCUUGCCACAUCCAUCAAGGAAAAGUGAGCUGGGAAAUGGAGCUCUCCCCAGACUACGCAAGGCAACUGCUUCGUUUUUCUCCUCCUCCUACGCCCUUUGGAGUCUGUUGCCUGCGUGGCCCCUAGCCUGUGCUCCAACCAGGGCCUGCCUGCGUUCGCCUCUCGUCCCACUCCUGCAGGGAGCCCAAGAGGUGACCAGAAUGCGACCUAAGAUCAUCUGUAUCACUUUGCCUCCUUAAAAACCUGCUUCUACAACCAUCAGUCUUCGUAGCAUCCCAGGAAUUUUCAGAUAUGAAACAGAACUUUCGAGAACAGCUAAGGUGUCUGAAUCACAGAAACCACAGCAUCUCGGGUUGCAAAAAGCACUUUCGAGAACAUCCCGGCCUGUGGAUAUUAGAAUUUGCUAGUGAGCCCUUCGUAAAGAUUCGUUAAACCAGACUCCAGAAGAAGAAGAAAAACAACGGAGACACCACGGGCCAACGCCGAAAGAUGAAAGCGGCUUUUACAGCAGAGGCCUAAGGCCCGAUGCCGUGACGUGACCAGGAACUCCUGGCUCGCUCAACUUAAAAAGCAAGCUCACGGGGCUGGAGCUGUAGCUUGGCCGAUGAAGCUGCCACCUGCCAGGCUGGCAUUCCAUGUGGGCGCUUGGGCCCCUGCACCUGCAUGGGAGGCCUGGAAGACGCUCCUGGCUCCUGGCUCCUGGCUCCUGGCUCCUGGCUCCUGGCUUCUGGCUUCAGAUCAGCUCAACUCUGGGUGUUGCAGCCAUUUGGGGAGUGAACCAGCAGAUGGAAGAUCUCUCUCUCUCUGUCUCUCUCUCUCUCUCUGUCUCUCUGUGUCUCUCUCUCUCUCUCUCUGUUUGUAAC